rnacentral:rRNA from 1 species
UCGUACGAGAAAUCCUGGGCAACUGGGAGAGUAAAGUGGCGCACGGGUGAGUAACGCGUGGGUAACCUAUCCUUGAAUUGGGGAUAAUUCUUCGAAAGGGGAGUUAAUACCGAAUAAUAUUCCAAUUCCCCCGGGAGUUGGAAUCAAAGGUGGCCUCUGCAUGCAAGCUAUCGUUUAUGGAUGGGCCCGCGUACCAUUAGCUAGUUGGUAGGGUAAUAGCCUACCAAGGCAACGAUGGUUAGCUGGUCUGAGAGGAUGGCCAGCCACACUGGAACUGAGAUACGGUCCAGACUCCUACGGGAGGCAGCAGUGGGGAAUCUUGCGCAAUGGGGGAAACCCUGACGCAGCAACGCCGCGUGGGUGAUGAAGGCCUUCGGGUCGUAAAGCCCUGUCAGGUGGGAAGAAACUUGUGGAUGUUAAUACCAUCCAUGCUUGACGGUACCACCGGAGGAAGCACCGGCUAACUCCGUGCCAGCAGCCGCGGUAAUACGGAGGGUGCAAGCGUUGUUCGGGAAUUAUUGGGCGUAAAGCGCGUGUAGGUGGUCAGGUAAGUCAGAUGUGAAAGCCUUCUGCUUAACAGAAGAAGUGCA